CCAGCGGUUACUGCCCACACCCUGGGGCUGGGCAGCGGCGGUGACAACGCCAGCUUUUCUCCCUUCCGUGGACUGCAUGACCCAGGAAGGACCCCUGGACCGGCUGAAGAGCCACUAUGAUCCCUAAGCUACUGCCCUUCCUCUGUUUCAGGCUGUGUGUUGGCCAAGGAGACAUAAGGGGAAAUGGGUCCCUGCCCAAGCCCUCCCUCGGUGCCUGGCCCAGCUCGGUGGCCCCUGCCAGCAGCAACGUGACCCUGCGAUGCUGGACUCCCGCCAGGGGCGUGCACUUUGCUCUCAGAAAGGGAGG